AUUAGAAACAAAACCAAAGUUGAAAAAUUUUAUUUUAACAAAUUAAGAAUGAACGAUUAAAAUAAAACAAAUACAUAAGUUCAAAAACGAUCAGUGCAACUUACUUGAGAGAGAAAAGAAUAGAGAGCAAGGAGUGGGAGAACAAGAACAAGUGAAAAUAUUUUGAUUAUUUCAUCUCACAGUAACAACAAUUUUAGUUGAAUUUAGACAAAAUGGUGAUUUUGUUAAUAAAGUCAAACAUAUGAAACUUAAUUGUUUCAAAUUAAAAAUAGAUCAACCAACUUGUGGUUUAGGCCAAACCUCAAAGGCAUGCAUUUUUGUAAUGGCCUAACUAAAAAAAAAAUCCAAACCUUUUUUCAAAAUUACAAUUUAAUCUCAAUUUUGACAAUUUAUGCCAAAUUAAAAUAUUUUGUUGCAAUUUUAUUUAGUCAACAAAAAUUGUCAAAAAUAAAAUAAAAAAAU
rnacentral:misc_RNA from 1 species